UGAAGGCUUGUCCAAAGAGAGAGUUUCCAAAAAGCCUCAGUUUUAAUAGAGGGUUAUUUUCUAUGGCUGUGCACUGGAUAGAGAACCUGCCUAUAUGCUCAUCGGAUGAAGCAUAAGGAUCAUCUCCGUUAAACAAGGUGAAGUUUGGUGCCUUGAAACCUGGGGAUAGAGGUAUCUAAUCUAUAUAAGCCGGAUAUGGCUUUCUGUAGGUAGGCCUUUCUCCUCUUCUGACAUCAGGCUCCAUCAUCUCCCUGAUCAUUCUCUGUAGUGCCCCCAUGUCAUUCACAGCAUUAACAGGGUGCGGAUUUCGCCCCUAUUCUGGCUGGAUGUGGUAAAUCCUAUGCUCUAUUCUAUGUGGCCUGGGCAGAGCUUCCUCCCUGUGUUUUCCUCUUCUUCAAAAUCUGGAUUAUUCCUCUAAUUUGCCCUUGGUCUAUUCCUGUCAUUGUUGGCGAAAGGGUUGAUUCCCCUUUUGCCUCUUCUGCCUCUUACUGGUGGAGGGAAUGGAAUGGGAUCCAUCCUUCUGGGUUUGUAAGGCAACACAGCUGGUGUCUCAGGCAGAAGUGCCAGGGGCUGAUCACGUGGGGCCAUAAGUUGUGGAAUAGGUGGAGGUUCUGGCAGAUUCUAUUGGACCUGAACUGGUGCAGGGCCUUCUGGCCGAGCUGGACCUUCCUGCUCUUGGAUGGGAGGGGCUCAUCCCUUCUAUCCAGCUUGGAUCUCUCCAUGCCCUUAUAUUCCAGCUAUUUGUACGAUGAGAGGGUUCUCUUGAUAUGGCCAUGCCAAUCCUAGUGGAGGGCUGUAAGGGAGGUCUAGUUGCUGGACCACAACAUCAGGAUUUGGAAUUCCGGCCAUGGCAGCCUCACGACCCUUGUUGAACUGCCUAUUAACUUGUCAUUGCAUCAUGACUGUCAUGUUAUUUAGAGUGUCCUGGCUCCUUUGUGCUGUAGCCUUCUGUCGGAACACAGCUUCCUGUAUUCGAUUCAAUCUUCUAGAGCCAGACCUGGAACGUCUACUCUGGGUACUGCCAUGGACUGAUUGCCUGGCAUCACUUUCUUCUGACUCUAGUCAUUCUCGGAGAACUACUUAAUCUCUUUGCAUGGUGCAGCGUGGGUAUUGGCUAGAACUUCCAAUAUUCAUAUACUUUUGAUAAAUUUCUCUAAGAAUAUGUAUACUGAGAAGUCUCACUGGGGGUGCCAAAUUGUUCACCCGUUUCGUGUUUGUACCUGUGAUGGUAAGGUAAAGUUCCUCAUUGCCUUGAAAACCAUUGUCUGGUCAACAAGUCAACUUUCUUUAGUGUGCAAAUGUGCCAUUGCUAGUAAUGAAAAAUCUUAGCGGACUUCGAAAAUAGAUAACUUGCGCCCCAAGUUACUGAUUUCUAAACAAGCAAAUGUGAAUUUUUGUGAGGAAUAUCUCCCAAGUAAGUUAUUUUCUUGCCUCAAAGUAGUGAGGACUUCACAAUUUUUCAUAGUACAAUAUUGGUAGUUUUGGCCAGAAUAAAUGAUGAGAAAAUGAACUGUUUUUAGGUAGAACUGCCUUUACAAAACUCAAAAGGGAAAAGCCAACUCUAGAAAGACGAAAAGAAGGCUGGACUUCCAUUUCUGAAGGGAUAGAUGCUUCUGAUCCGGGCUAGACUGGGUAUGCCUGUGCUGGAC
rnacentral:lncRNA from 1 species